ACACAUGCAAGUCGAACGAGAGAUGAAGAGCUUGCUCUUCAAAUCGAGUGGCGAACGGGUGAGUAACGCGUGAGGAACCUGCCUCAAAGAGGGGGACAACAGUUGGAAACGACUGCUAAUACCGCAUAAGCCCACGGCUCGGCAUCGAGCAGGGGGAAAAGGAGCAAUCCGCUUUGAGAUGGCCUCGCGUCCGAUUAGCUAGUUGGUGAGGUAACGGCCCACCAAGGCGACGAUCGGUAGCCGGACUGAGAGGUUGAACGGCCACAUUGGGACUGAGACACGGCCCAGACUCCUACGGGAGGCAGCAGUGGGGAAUAUUGCACAAUGGGGGAAACCCUGAUGCAGCGACGCCGCGUGGAGGAAGAAGGUCUUCGGAUUGUAAACUCCUGUUGUUGAGGAAGAUAAUGACGGUACUCAACAAGGAAGUGACGGCUAAC
rnacentral:rRNA from 1 species